rnacentral:tRNA from 1 species
GGAUGUGGCACAGUGGUAUGGCUCUGUUGCUGUUACACAGGGGUUCUGGGUUCGAAUCCCAGGUACCCC